rnacentral:rRNA from 1 species
UACGUAGGGCGCAAGCGUUGUCCGGAAUUAUUGGGCGUAAAGAGCUCGUAGGCGGCCUGUUACGUCUGCUGUGAAAUCCCGGGGCUUAACCCCGGGCGUGCAGUGGAUACGGGCAGGCUGGAGGCAGGCAGGGGAGAACGGAAUUCCCGGUGUAGCGGUGAAAUGCGGCAGAUAUCGGGAGGAACACCGGUGGCGAAGGCGGUUCUCUGGGCCUGUACUGACGCUGAGGAGCGAAAGCGUGGGGAGCGAACAGG